CUGAUGUAUUAAAGGCAGAAGAGGAAAAACAAGCUCCAAUAUCUAAAUCUACUUAGUAACCACAUCCACACAUUUAUCAGAGGUGAAGGGCUGCUCUGAGCACGCUCUGGAUUCCCGGGGGGCUGCCAUACUCCCUUCCGUCCCGUUGACCUCUCUCUGUCUUGGCAGAGCCUUAUAAUAAUCACAGCCAUAAAUCUUUUAGUGGGUUCCAUUCUCUUCGUCCUCCUGCAAAAAGCCCUGCACACAUUUAUCAGGUCCUCAAAGAUACUCAGGGACCACGGAAUCGUCCUUGAUCCACCUCAUGGAGGGCCUCACGUAUUGCCUCAGCUAUUCAGGGCUUCCUUCAAACUACAUUAUAGGUGGCAUUACAGUGGGGGCAGGGCACCGGGAGAUUGUGGUUGAAAAGUGGGGGCCAUGUGGGGCUCAUAUUUUGACUGGAAUGACCCAGGAACACCCAGCUUCUCACUGCUCCAUCUCAGUGCCUUAUGGAAGAGGAGGACACUCUUUUCCUCUCUCUAGGUCUGAGGGUGCAUCAGCUAAGGGGGAAAAUGGAGUCACAGAGAAAUGCCAGAAUGGUAUUUCAUAAUCUGUUGAAAAUUAAACAAAUCUCUCACUCUUUUGACUGCUCUCACACUUUGAUAUCCAUGAGUAAGAGUUCCUUCAAAGGCAUGGAAUAUAUUACCGAAUGUCAAUAACAAAUUGUGUAUGAAGAAAAAUGUAAUGCUUUGAGAAUAUUUUCUUUUGGGCUUUGUCCAUGAUUAGAUUACACUAAAUUACAGCAUACAGAUAUCAGGCAAUUACUCUUUGCUUUUAACUAUUCAAUUUCAUGGCAAAUCCACAUAGCGCAGUAAUGCUAAAAUCACACCGAUGUGGUUACCAAGAAAAUACCUCAUCAUCUCCAUUUUGUGAAGCUAGGUUCAAGUUGCACUGUAAUGACCUGUAGUCCUGUUAAGUGUAAAGUACAUUCCAGAUGAACAUGGGGUAAUCCGUACCUCUCUGUAAUUGCCAGAUAUCUGGAGAGAUUCUUGCAGAUGUUGCUGGAUAAGCCUGGGUGAGAUGUGAAGAGGAAUGGCAUCUUUGCUCUCCUGGUUACUCUGGCUACCCUCCCUGUCUCUGAUCCUGGUUGGUCUCUGGUCCUACUCAUUCUAUUGCUUUAACCAGGAGCAUGUCUCCUUUUCUUCUGUUUUGUGAAAACAUAGUCAUUUUCUCUUCACUCAGCUCACAGAAUCCUCCCCAACCUCCUCCCAAUUUUAAUUUCUUCCAAAGCUGUGGAUAUCCCAUAAGCAAUCAAGUCGGCUGUCCUGGAAACUGGAGGAGCUUGUUGGUGAAAAAAGAAUUAUUUGAGCCAAUUGUGAGAAAUCGAACAGUGGCAGGAGGAGGAAAACGAGAGAAGAAAGGAGCCGACACAUCUAAACAAGCAGCCAGGGCACUGUGCAUACAGAUGUAAGGUCUUCUGGGGUCAGCUGGACUCAUAAGGCAGGAGGGACCUCAUCUUUCAGAGAAGGAAUGCCUAGAUUAUCAACAGAACUGUGCCCCAAGACCCAGAGAGACCUCCCUGCCCCAGUGCCUAUUAGAAUGACAAAAGGGGUGGACCCAAGCCCAGAUGACCAGGGCUCUGCCUGGAAGUGCCAGGCCAGGACCCUGGGUCUGUAGAGCCUCUGCCAUUGCAAAGGAUGAGCCAGAUGGAAAAAUUCAGCAUGGAGCUGUAUCCCUGAGCCAAGAGGGCACCCCCUUCCCCGUUGGGGGAGCGAUGGCUUGGGAACAAGCCCCCCGCCCCGUGCUCCAGUGCAUCUAGCUGCCUUUGGCCACCAUCCUGAAACAGCAGGGAGCAGGCUUCCUCUUUCCUCACACCCUGGAACCCAGUGAUUGCUGACCAGGAAGCAGAACCUUCCAAGGCUGCAGGCUUGCAUCCUGCCUCUCAGCCAAGACCUGUCUCCUCAGUCAUCUGAAACCACCCUACCACGCCAGACGCUCCCUCUGCCUUCUUGCUAUUCCAGCUCUCUCUUCUUCCCACUUCCUAUUUUCUCUCCAUUUUGUUCAAACUCCAUGAACAAGAACAACAGAGCUCAGACAGCGAAAGCCUCCCCAUCCCAGCUGUAUGCAAAUUCCCAGCAGGCUGAAAGGACCACCCGCCCACCCAAGACCACCUCCCAGGAAGCCGAGGCCUUGUGUGCAGCCCCAGAGGAGCUUGAGCUGAACGGAGAAUGGGUUGAGGUGGGUGGGACCCAUCACUGUUCUUCCCUUCUCAUUCCUGCGCGUUCCCUGAAGAGUCUCUGGGGCCUGCUUUUCCCCCCAGCAGAGACGGAUGUGUCACAUUUAUGGCAUCCCAUUUCCUUCACAGAGAGGCUAUAGAUCCUGUUUCAUUCUGGUGUAUUUAAUUCACUCCAUAGGAAUCAAUAAAAACUUUAAA
rnacentral:lncRNA from 1 species